UACGAAGGGUGCUAGCGUUGUUCGGAAUCACUGGGCGUAAAGCGCGCGUAGGCGGCUUGACAAGUCAGAGGUGAAAGCCUGGAGCUCAACUCCAGAACUGCCUUUGAAACUGUCUCGCUGGAGUGUCGGAGGGGAUAGCGGAAUUGCUAAUGUAGAGGUGAAAUUCGUAGAUAUUAGCAGGAACACCGGUGGCGAAGGCGGCUAUCUGGACGACAACUGACGCUGAGGCGCGAAAGCGUGGGGAUCAAACAGG
rnacentral:rRNA from 1 species